rnacentral:rRNA from 1 species
AUUGAACGCUGGCGGCAUGCCUUACACAUGCAAGUCGAACGGCAGCACAGGUGCUUGCACCUGGUGGCGAGUGGCGAACGGGUGAGUAAUACAUCGGAACAUGUCCUGUAGUGGGGGAUAGCCCGGCGAAAGCCGGAUUAAAACCGCAUACGAUCUACGGAUGAAAGCGGGGGACCUUCGGGCCUCGCGCUAUAGGGUUGGCCGAUAGCUGAUUAGCUAGUUGGUGGGGUAAAGGCCUACCAAGGCGACGAUCAGUAGCUGGUCUGAGAGGACGACCAGCCACACUGGGACUGAGACACGGCCCAGACUCCUACGGGAGGCAGCAGUGGGGAAUUUUGGACAAUGGGCGAAAGCCUGAUCCAGCAAUGCCGCGUGUGUGAAGAAGGCCUUCGGGUUGUAAAGCACUUUUGUCCGGAAAGAAAUCCUUGGCUCUAAUACAGUCGGGGGAUGACGGUACCGGAAGAAUAAGCACCGGCUAACUACGUG